rnacentral:rRNA from 1 species
AUUGAACGCUGGCGGCAUGCCUUACACAUGCAAGUCGAACGGCAGCACGGACUUCGGUCUGGUGGCGAGUGGCGAACGGGUGAGUAAAGCAUCGGAACGUACCCGAUCGUGGGGGAUAACGCAGCGAAAGCUGCGCUAAUACCGCAUAAGAUCUACGGAUGAAAGCGGGGGACUCGCAAGAGCCUCGCGCGAACGGAGCGGCCGAUGUCAGAUUAGGUAGUUGGUGGGGUAAAGGCCCACCAAGCCGACGAUCUGUAGCUGGUCUGAGAGGACGACCAGCCACACUGGGACUGAGACACGGCCCAGACUCCUACGGGAGGCAGCAGUGGGGAAUUUUGGACAAUGGGCGCAAGCCUGAUCCAGCCAUGCCGCGUGCAGGAAGAAGGCCUUCGGGUUGUAAACUGCUUUUGUACGGAACGAAAAAGCCCUGGCCAAUACCCGGGGCUGAUGACGGUACCGUAAGAAUAAGCACCGGCUAACUACGUGCCAGCAGCCGCGGUAAUACGUAGGGUGCAAGCGUUAAUCGGAAUUACUGGGCGUAAAGCGUGCGCAGGCGGUUU